CGCGAACGUUGGCGGCGUGCCUAACACAUGCAAGUCGUGGGGCAGCAGGCUACUGUCUUUUGGCAGUAGUGCUGGCGACCGGCAAACGGGUGAGUAACACGUAGCUUACCUACCCAUAGGUUGGGGAUAACAUCCCGAAAGGGGUGCUAAUACCCAAUAAUGAGGAGACUCCAAAGCCCUUAUGGGCGCCUAUGGAUGGGGCUGCGUCCCAUCAGCUAGUUGGUGAGGUAAUGGCUCACCAAGGCUACGACGGGUAACCGGUCUGAGAGGAUGACCCGUCACAGUGGGACUGAGACACGGCCCGCACCCCUACGGGGGGCAGCAGUGGGGAAUAUUGGGCAAUGGCCGAAAGGCUGACCCAGCAACGCCGCGUGGUGGAUGAAGCCCUUCGGGGUGUAAACACCUUUUCUGGGGGAAGAUAAUGACGGUACCCCAGGAAUAAGGGACGGCUAACUACGUGCCAGCAGCCGCGGUAAUACGUAG
rnacentral:rRNA from 1 species